UACGGGGGGGGCAAGCGUUGUUCGGAAUUACUGGGCGUAAAGCGCGCGUAGGCGGCUUUGCAAGUCGGAUGUGAAAUCCCACGGCUCAACCGUGGAAGUGCAUUCGAAACUGCAGGGCUAGAGUCCUGGAGAGGAAGGUGGAAUGCUUGGUGUAGAGGUGAAAUUCGUAGAUAUCAAGCGGAACACCGGUGGCGAAGGCGGCCUUCUGGACAGUGACUGACGCUGAGACGCGAAAGCGUGGGGAGCAAACAGG
rnacentral:rRNA from 1 species